GGAUCAGUAGGUUGGUCGUGCCACCGGUACGUACUGGUCUCACUGAUUCCUCCUUCCUGAAGAACCGUAAUGCCAUUAAUUUGGUGCUGCGGGGAAACAGGACUGUUACUUUGAAAAAAUUAGAGUGUUUAAAGCAAGCUAACGCUUGAAUACAUUAGCAUGGAAUAAUGAAAUAGGACGAUCGAUCCUAUUUUGUUGGUUUCUAGGAUUGACGUA
rnacentral:rRNA from 1 species